GUGAACGCUGGCGGUAGGCCUAACACAUGCAAGUCGAACGGCAGCACAGUAAGAGCUUGCUCUUACGGGUGGCGAGUGGCGGACGGGUGAGGAAUACAUCGGAAUCUACUUUUUCGUGGGGGAUAACGUAGGGAAACUUACGCUAAUACCGCAUACGACCUACGGGUGAAAGCAGGGGAUCUUCGGACCUUGCGCGAUUGAAUGAGCCGAUGUCGGAUUAGCUAGUUGGCGGGGUAAAGGCCCACCAAGGCGACGAUCCGUAGCUGGUCUGAGAGGAUGAUCAGCCACACUGGAACUGAGACACGGUCCAGACUCCUACGGGGGGCAGCAGUGGGGAAUAUUGGACAAUGGGCGCAAGCCUGAUCCAGCCAUACCGCGUGGGUGAAGAAGGCCUUCGGGUUGUAAAGCCCUUUUGUUGGGAAAGAAAAGCAGCAGGUUAAUACCCCGCUGUUCUGACGGUACCCAAAGAAUAAGCACCGGCUAACUUCGUG
rnacentral:rRNA from 1 species